rnacentral:rRNA from 1 species
UAACGGCGAGUGAAGCGGGAACAGCUCAAAUUUGAAAUCUGGCCUUCGGGUCCGAGUUGUAAUUUGCAGAGGAUGCUUUUGGUGCGGUGCCUUCCGAGUUCCCUGGAACGGGACGCCUUAGAGGGUGAGAGCCCCGUACGGUUGGACACCAAGCCUAUGUAAAGCUCCUUCGACGAGUCGAGUAGUUUGGGAAUGCUGCUCAAAAUGGGAGGUAUAUUUCUUCUAAAGCUAAAUAUUGGCCAGAGACCGAUAGCGCACAAGUAGAGUGAUCGAAAGAUGAAAAGCACUUUGAAAAGAGGGUUAAAUAGCACGUGAAAUUGUUGAAAGGGAAGGAUUUAUGACCAGACUUUUUCUAGGGGAAUCAUCCGGUGUUCUCACCGGUGCACUUCCCCUAGUUGAGGCCAGCAUCGGUUUCUGUCGAGGGAUAAAAGCUUUAGGAAUGUGGCACCCUCCGGGGUGUGUUAUAGCCUGUUGCAUAAUACCUUGACGGGGACCGAGGUUCGCGCAUUGCAAGGAUGCUGGCGUAAUGGUUAUUAAUCACCCGU